AGAAGAGUAAUUCAUGUUGGCUGAAAACUUACGAUCAAGAAACAACAAAGAAGAAGAAGCUAAUUUCCUCUGAAAAAGUCCUUUCUACAGGCCAAGAAAUACCAAUAAAGCUUCCCGUUGAUAUGUUGUGUGUCAAAAGUCUUUGCAUGUGUAUUCGUCUUGACACGAAUGGGAUUUUGUCUGCUCUUUGCUUGAUAAGAAGCUUCCCAUUUUUACAAUAUCUGGAAAUUCAGAUGAAGUUCAAUGUUGAUCACACUACGCCAGUUCUAGAUUGUCUUGAAGUGGAAUUUUUACAGAAUGUGGAAUUUAGCUUCAGAAUGUGGAAUUCCAACACCUAACAGUAGUUAAGCUAAAAGAUGUUAAUGACAGUAUGCAGGAGAUGCAACUUAUCAAGCUUCUGUUAGCCAAGUCUCCGAAGUUGGUGAGAAUGUCAAUCAAUCUCCAGAUUCUCUUGGAAGAAUCUCGAAUAUUAAAUAGAAUUGUUGAAUUUAAGCGUGCAUCUCGUAAAGCAAAAGUUGUCUUUAUACAUGU